rnacentral:lncRNA from 1 species
AAAUCGAUUGAAUCUGACAUAUGAUGGACAAAUGGGUUUGACAAGUUAUCCUUUACUAGCAUCUUAUCAGGACUCAUGAUAGAAGAAUCGAACUACAUGGUAACUACAUCUAGAGGUUCAAUAUUCUAUUCUACUGGGUUGUCAUUACAUACUGCUAGGUGUCAUUGGUGGAUUGUGAGACUCGUCGAGCAUCAUCUUGAUGAUCGAUGACC